UUUCUGUAGAGCUACUUGUGUAUUCUUCGAGGUGACGCCUUCAGUUGCUGGAAUAAUUCUUCUUCGCUCGAAGUCGAGCGGUUAAGGCCAGAUUUAUUUGUGAGAAUGUUUAGCCAUCCGUACCUCCGUCCCGCUAGAGUGUUCUGGGUUGCCGUGUGUUUGAAACCUCACUGAGACCUCACUGUACAUGUGCUUACUUGCAUGAAGAUAAUCGUUGUUGGUUUGUGUGUCAGUGUCACACACCUCUUGUGAAUUAACCUGUGUAGUUUGCUCAAACCAAGCUUGCUGUACAGUUAACCUGGAUUAAUCCGAAGGUUAUUUGUUGUGCUU
rnacentral:sRNA from 1 species